GCCGAGCUAGAAUCGCUUUGUUUCCAAUAGGGCGGGAAGACGUGAUUUCCUCACUCUACGCUGAGGUGGUGAAGCCGCCACUCUCACUAGUCUUUGUCCACUUGGAGGAAUGCAUGUCUCCCUCGAUGUACAAAGAUCGGGAAUCUAAUGUGACGAGUAGUAGUCGGGAUUAUUCGGAUCCAUUUUGGAAGAGUUUGAAAGAGAGGAUGAUGAAGAGAAUUGAAAGAAUUUGAGAGGGAGAUGAUGA
rnacentral:lncRNA from 1 species